GACGAACGCUGGCGGCGUGCUUAACACAUGCAAGUCGAACGGUGAUCUUGAGAGCUUGCUCUUGGGUGAUCAGUGGCAAACGGGUGAGUAACACGUGAGUAACCUGCCCCUGACUCUGGAAUAACUUCGGGAAACCGAAGCUAAUACCGGAUAUGACACAGAGCCGCAUGGUUUCUGUGUGGAAAGUUUUUCGGUUGGGGAUGGACUCGCGGCCUAUCAGCUUGUUGGUGAGGUAAGGGCUCACCAAGGCGACGACGGGUAGCCGGCCUGAGAGGGGGACCGGCCACACUGGGACUGAGAAACGGCCCAGACUCCUACGGGAGGCAGCAGUGGGGAAUAUUGCACAAUGGGCGAAAGCCUGAUGCAGCGACGCGGCGUGAGGGAUGAAGGCCUUCGGGUUGUAAACCUCUUUCAGUAGGGAAGAAGCGCAAGUGACGGUACCUACAGAAGAAGCACCGGCUAACUACGUGCCAGCAGCCGCCGUAACAC
rnacentral:rRNA from 1 species